GACGAACGCUGGCGGCGUGCUUAACACAUGCAAGUCGAACGGUAAGGCCCUUCGGGGUACACGAGUGGCGAACGGGUGAGUAACACGUGGGUGAUCUGCCCUGCACUUUGGGAUAAGCCUGGGAAACUGGGUCUAAUACCGGAUAGGACCAUGGCAUGCAUGUGCUGUGGUGGAAAGCUUUUGCGGUGUGGGAUGGGCCCGCGGCCUAUCAGCUUGUUGGUGGGGUGAUGGCCUACCAAGGCGACGACGGGUAGCCGGCCUGAGAGGGUGUCCGGCCACACUGGGACUGAGAUACGGCCCAGACUCCUACGGGAGGCAGCAGUGGGGAAUAUUGCACAAUGGGCGCAAGCCUGAUGCAGCGACGCCGCGUGGGGGAUGACGGCCUUCGGGUUGUAAACCUCUUUCAAUAGGGACGAAGCGCAAGUGACGGUACCUAUAGAAGAAGCACCGGCCAACUACGUGCCAGCAGCCGCAGUAA
rnacentral:rRNA from 1 species